rnacentral:tRNA from 1 species
UAGCUCAGUCGGUUAGAGCGUGGUGCUGAUAACACCACGGUCAUGUGUUUGAUUCCCGU